AUUGAACGCUGGCGGCAUGCCUUACACAUGCAAGUCGAACGGUAACGCGGGGCAACCUGGCGACGAGUGGCGAACGGGUGAGUAAUGUAUCGGAACGUGCCCAGUUGUGGGGGAUAACUGCUCGAAAGAGCAGCUAAUACCGCAUACGACCUGCGGGUGAAAGCGGGGGAUCGCAAGACCUCGCGCAGGUGGACCGGCCGAAAUCAGAUUAGGUAGUUGGUGGGGUAAAGGCUCACCAAGCCAACGAUCUGUAGCUGGUCUGAGAGGACGACCAGCCACACUGGGACUGAGACACGGCCCAGACUCCUACGGGAGGCAGCAGUGGGGAAUUUUGGACAAUGGGCGCAAGCCUGAUCCAGCCAUGCCGCGUGCGGGAAGAAGGCCUUCGGGUUGUAAACUGCUUUUGUCAGGGAAGAAAAGACUCCUGUUAAUACCGGGGGUUCAUGACGGUACCUGAAGAAUAAGCACCGGCUAUCUACGUGCCAGCCGCCGCCGUAA
rnacentral:rRNA from 1 species